rnacentral:rRNA from 1 species
AGCGUAGGCGGACAUUUAAGUCAGGGGUGAAAUCCCCGAGCUUAACUUGGAAUUGCAUUCGAUACUGGGAAGCUAGAGUAUGGGAGAGGAUGGUAGAAUUCCAGGUGUAGCGGUGAAAUGCGUAGAGAUCUGGAGGAAUACCGAUGGCGAAGGCGGGUCUCUGGGCAGUAACUGACGCUGAGGAGCGAAAGCGUGGGUAGCGAACA